GACGAACGCUGGCGGCGUGCUUAACACAUGCAAGUCGAACGAAGAGCGAUGGAAGCUUGCUUCUAUCAAUCUUAGUGGCGAACGGGUGAGUAACGCGUAAUCAACCUGCCCUUCAGAGGGGGACAACAGUUGGAAACGACUGCUAAUACCGCAUACGAUCUAAUCUCGGCAUCGAGGAUAGAUGAAAGGUGGCCUCUACAUGUAAGCUAUCACUGAAGGAGGGGAUUGCGUCUGAUUAGCUAGUUGGAGGGGUAACGGCCCACCAAGGCGAUGAUCAGUAGCCGGUCUGAGAGGUUGAACGGCCACAUUGGGACUGAGACACGGCCCAGACUCCUACGGGAGGCAGCAGUGGGGAAUCUUCCGCAAUGGACGAAAGUCUGACGGAGCAACGCCGCGUGAGUGAUGACGGCCUUCGGGUUGUAAAGCUCUGUUAAUCGGGACGAAAGGCCUUCUUGCGAAUAGUGAGAAGGAUUGACGGUACCGGAAUAGAAAGCCACGGCUAACUACGUG
rnacentral:rRNA from 1 species